GAUGAACGCUGGCGGCGUGCCUAAUACAUGCAAGUCGAGCGAAUGGAUUAAGAGCUUGCUCUUAUGAAGUUAGCGGCGGACGGGUGAGUAACACGUGGGUAACCUGCCCAUAAGACUGGGAUAACUCCGGGAAACCGGGGCUAAUACCGGAUAACAUUUUGAACCGCAUGGUUCGAAAUUGAAAGGCGGCUUCGGCUGUCACUUAUGGAUGGACCCGCGUCGCAUUAGCUAGUUGGUGAGGUAACGGCUCACCAAGGCAACGAUGCGUAGCCGACCUGAGAGGGUGAUCGGACACACUGGGACUGAGACACGGCCCAGACUCCUACGGGAGGCAGCAGUAGGGAAUCUUCCGCAAUGGACGAAAGUCUGACGGAGCAACGCCGCGUGAGUGAUGAAGGCCUUCGGGUCGUAAAACUCUGUUGUUAGGGAAGAACAAGUGCUAGUUGAAUAAGCUGGCACCUUGACGGUACCUAACCAGAAAGCCACGGCUAACUACGUGCCAGCCGCCGCUGUAA
rnacentral:rRNA from 1 species